rnacentral:lncRNA from 1 species
UGGCAUGCAAAUAUUUCAACUGGCAUACUCUCAAGUCGACUAUAGUGCUAUUUGAGUCAACUCCAAUGAAGAAUGACAGAAAAAUAAUUUUUCAGAAUCAAAAAAUUUGAAUGGACCCACUAGAUUUGAGUGGACUCACAGACUACUCAAGUCGACUCAAUUAUUCAAGUAGAAGUCCUCAAAAAUGAUAGAAAACAGUAUUUUUUGGACUUGUAGCUUGAGUAGACUCAAAAUUGGCCAAGUAGACUUGAAGGGUAUUC